rnacentral:rRNA from 1 species
UACGUAGGUGGCAAGCGUUGUCCGGAUUUAUUGGGUUUAAAGGGUGCGUAGGCGGCCCUGUAAGUCAGUGCUGAAAUCCCCCGGCUUGACCGGGGUGGUGGCAUUGAUACUGCAGGGCUUGAGUACAGAUGAGGUAGGCGGAAUUGACGGUGUAGCGGUGGAAUGCAUAGAUAUCGUCAAGAACACCGAUAGCGAAGGCAGCUUACUGGGCUGUAACUGACGCUGAUGCACGAAAGUGUGGGGAU